CCAGACUCCUACGGGAGGCAGCAGUGGGGAAUAUUGCACAAUGGGGGAAACCCUGAUGCAGUGACGCCGCGCGAAGGAAGAAGUAUUUCGGUAUGUAAACUUCUAUCAGCAGGGAAGAAAAUGACGGUACCUGACUAAGAAGCCCCGGCUAACUACGUGCCAGCAGCCGCGGUAAUACGUAGGUGGCAAGCGUUAUCCGGAUUUACUGGGUGUAAAGGGCGUGUAGGCGGGGACGCAAGUCAGAUGUGAAAACCACGGGCUCAACCUGUGGCCUGCAUUUGAAACUGUGUUUCUUGAGUACUGGAGAGGCAGACGGAAUUCCUAGUGCAGCGGUGAAAUGCGUAGAUAUUAGGAGGAACACCAGUGGCGAAGGCGGUCUGCUGGACAGCAACUGACGCUGAGGCGCGAAAGCGUGGGGAGCAAACAGGAUUAGAUACCCCAGUACAC
rnacentral:rRNA from 1 species